GAUGAACGCUGGCGGCGUGCCUAAUACAUGCAAGUCGAGCGAACGGACGAGAAGCUUGCUUCUCUGAUGUUAGCGGCGGACGGGUGAGUAACACGUGGAUAACCUACCUAUAAGACUGGGAUAACUUCGGGAAACCGGAGCUAAUACCGGAUGAUAUUUUGAACCGCAUGGUUCAAAAGUGAAAGACGGUCUUGCUGUCACUUAUAGAUGGAUCCGCGCUGCAUUAGCUAGUUGGUAAGGUAACGGCUUACCAAGGCAACGAUGCAUAGCCGACCUGAGAGGGUGAUCGGCCACACUGGAACUGAGACACGGUCCAGACUCCUACGGGAGGCAGCAGUAGGGAAUCUUCCACAAUGGGCGGAAGCCUGACGGAGCAACGCCGCGUGAGUGAUGAAGGUCUUCGGAUCGUAAAACUCUGUUAUUAGGGAAGAACAUAUGUGUAAGUAACUGUGCACAUCUUGACGGUACCUAAUCAGAAAGCCACGGCUAACUACGUG
rnacentral:rRNA from 1 species